rnacentral:rRNA from 1 species
UACGAAGGGGGCUAGCGUUGCUCGGAAUCACUGGGCGUAAAGGGUGCGUAGGCGGGGCUUUAAAUCAGGGGUGAAAUCCUGGAGCUCAACUCCAGAACUGCCUUUGAUACUGAGGAUCUUGAGUUCGGGAGAGGUGAGUGGAACUGCGAGUGUAGAGGUGAAAUUCGUAGAUAUUCGCAAGAACACCAGUGGCGAAGGCGGCUCACUGGCCCGAUACUGACGCUGAGGCACGAAAGCGUGGGGAGCAAACAGG